UAGAUAUGUUUCUUGAAUUGAUUUAUUCUAUUUAAAAAAAAAAAUCCCCUUUUUUAACCAGACGUAUUUCCAGGAAUCCUUUCCAAUUCCCUGACUUGAUUCCCAAACACGCCUGAUAAACUCACCAAUGUCAAUGCGUCAAUUCUCGAAAGAGGUCACCAUGAUUUUUCAACCUUCCAAGCAAAAUCAAGAAGACCCAAGGAUCGACGUGUCUUUAAGAACGUAAGUCCAGAUUGAAGCAAGGUCAGUCAAGCAGCAUGGCAGCUAUUUAGUCUAUUCAUCCACGGCUCCUCAUAACAUCCAACGGGGGGCUCUCGGGCUUCACGUCUCCGCUUAUCAAGGCAUGCCAGACAUUCUCUCCACGCGUGUUUGUGUGCGAUUGAAUACGGCGCACGUUGCUGUGCGUGGAAAUGUUUAUGCGUGCAUGCUCGGACCUGAGCGCAGACGUGAGCGUAAACAUGUGAAUUCACCUCCUUAAAAUUCCAAACACUUGUCGUGGCCACAAAAGCAAAACAACGGGAUGGUUUCCUGUUUUGUUCUCGGGGGCCCUUUUGAAAGUGGAGACUCCCCCUCUUUCCAGCAUCCACCUCCUUCCCUCAUUCUUCAGCUUCCCAGGAACGCCCCCAGUAAAUAAACCAAGGAGACGGCAUUAUUGCAACAGCUGAUUGUUCCCCGAGUCAAAACAACACACGCUCACGCCGCUGUGGAAUGGCACUGUAAUAACAAACAAUUCUUAUUUUUUGCCAUGAGUGCUUAGACAAUUGGAAUUGCCAGGCAAGGAGUGCGGAAAUAACAGGAACCGUACAGUGGCCCCUGCAGCACACGAGAUAAGAACACGUCUCAAUGUGGAACCAAAGUUGCCUCAUAAAAGUACCGGUCAUGAAUAAACCUAAUAAUAUUCGACUAAUGUCAACUCACACGUAGAGUGGAGCCUCGAAGAUCAACACAGGAUGUUCAUAUUUCAUGUAAUUGUCUUUUUUUUUUUUUUAAAGGUCAGGUCACAUACCGCGCAUGCCAUGAUCAUUUGACAGAGAUUUCUCGAAGUCAGGACGAACAGCAAAAUGUGUUUUGUCAGUCUUCACACUACUUUGAUGUCAUGGAAAAUAUAUGACAACAACUCCUGGAAUGCCGGCUCAUGGUAAAUCCUUUGCUGUGAACGCCCUCACACACACACACACACACACACACACACACACACACACGAACGAAAAGGACAUUCGAACGUAAAAGAAAAUGUGCUCAAAUGGUUUUGCAGACAAUUAUCGGCAUGUUUGGAAUAAAGGCUUGGAAAAUAUGAGUGACAAAAAAAAAAAUUAUCUCUGUCAAACGUUCAUUGUGUUGUCUUAUUAAAGAAGCGUCUUGUUGUUGGUAAAAUGAAAUUUCUCAAGCAUGCUUGCGGUUUGCAUCGACUUGCACUCUUAAUUGUUUUAAAUACUGAUAACAGCUCUUGCGCAAUAGGCCGAAUACUGAUGAAAAUCGCUGAGAAAAACACAUAAAAACAUAUAUACAACAAGAUACAUCUUGCAAACGCUAAAAGCAGAAUUCAGAUGUCAAUCAUCAUUUUUCAGUGAUUUAUUUGCUGCAGUUUAAAAGAAGUUGUGUAACUAGAUUACACUGCGUGUGGCCAUUUCAAAUUCAAAUCGAAAGCUAUGAAAUCGAGUUUUGAAUCUCUGCGACUGAAUGUUACUUGAAUCAUUUAAAUUUAUAUUGCAAUAUACACGUGACAAUGACACGCCCCCCUACGGCACAAACAGGUUUUUUAAAAUCCUUAAGACCCAUAAAAUGACUCUGCCGUGUCAUUUGAGGGAAUUCAAUCUCUGUGAACUUUGAUGCCCUGAGGACUUUGGUUUAUGAGCCAAAGCAACAUUCCCACCACACCUCACGAGAAGUUCCCCAGCAAUCACAACAACAAACCUGUUCCGUGGAAGUGACUCCAACGAGUAGAAUUAUGUCUGAAUUGAUAAUAAAUGAUGAUAUUUGGUUGA